UAGGGAAUCUUCGGCAAUGGACGAAAGUCUGACCGAGCAACGCCGCGUGAGUGAAGAAGGUUUUCGGAUCGUAAAACUCUGUUGUUAGAGAAGAACAAGGACGUUAGUAACUGAACGUCCCCUGACGGUAUCUAACCAGAAAGCCACGGCUAACUACGUGCCAGCAGCCGCGGUAAUACGUAGGUGGCAAGCGUUUUCCGGAUUUAUUGGGCGUAAAGCGAGCGCAGGCGGUUUCUUAAGUCUGAUGUGAAAGCCCCCGGCUCAACCGGGGAGGGUCAGUGGAAACUGGGAGGCUUGAGUGCAGAAGAGGGGAGUGGAAUUCCAUGCGUAGCGGUGAAAUGCGAAGUUAUAUGAAAAAACACCAGUAGCGAAGGCGGCUCUCUGGUCUAUAACUGACACUGAGGCUCGAGGGCGUGGGGGGCAAGGAAG
rnacentral:rRNA from 1 species